CAUUACGCGUCAAAGCCGCAAGCUGGCAAUCGAAAGCUUGUACUUUUAAUCAAUAUUUAGAACCAGAGAAUGUUUAAAAACUUACUCAUUAUGGAAAAUCCUCUAAACAAACGCUGUUUGUUGGUUAUUAGCAAAAUUGCCUCGUUGUUUUGGGCUCAGUGCCAGUGUUGACUUUGUCUUUGAGCUUCGCUAUCAAUAUAAAUCUACAAAGCGGCCAGACGGUGCUGAAAUAUUACAUGCUAUAGACUUACUUCCAGCUUUCGUAUAUCAAGAAACAAGAUGGAUUUCUAUGGU